rnacentral:rRNA from 1 species
GUCUAUGGCCAUGCCACCCUGAACAAGCCCGAUCCCGUCUGAUCUCAGAAGCUAAACGGGGUCGGGCCUGGUUAGUAUUUGGAUGGGAGACCACCUAGGAAGACCAGGUGCUGUAGGUG